rnacentral:rRNA from 1 species
UACGUAGGGUGCAAGCGUUAAUCGGAAUUACUGGGCGUAAAGCGUGCGCAGGCGGUGAUGUAAGACAGUUGUGAAAUCCCCGGGCUCAACCUGGGAAUGGCAUUUGGGACUGCAAGGCUGGAGUGCGGCAGAGGAGACUGGAAUUCCUGGUGUAGCAGUGAAAUGCGUAGAUAUCAGGAGGAACACCGAUGGCGAAGGCAGGUCUCUGGGCUGACACUGACGCUCAUGCACGAAAGCGUGGGGAGCAAACAGG